AGAGCUAUAGCUGAGCAGAGCUGAGGUUGACAGAUGGACUCUGGAAGCAUUCUCCAGCUCUAAGCUGUGGGAAAACAGUCCUUGCAAAAUGCUGAGCACAUCUGGCAGUUGUGGCUGGCCUUUGAAUGGUUCAACAACCAAAUGCUUCAAACUUCAAAUAAUAGCCAACCCUCCUUGCUGUUGCAACUAGCAAAUGUGAAGAGCAGGAAAUAUAAGGAAAUGAUUCAACUUAAAAGAUUUGACAUACCAUCUAUUCAAUCCCAUUUUCUUAAGAGAAAUCGACAAAACUGCUAGAGAACUAUCUUUCAUCCAGUUUCUUUAGAGCUUCAGUCACCAAUGCAAACAAACAGUUUUCAGGAAGGAUGUGACAAUACAGCACAUGGACUGUAAAACAACCCAGAAAAUAGACAUAUUGAAAGAACUCCAACAAUUUUUAAAUCUGUCUCAGAAUUCCAGCAUAAAUUUUCCUGGAAAAAUAGCAGUGCACUUCCCAUGACAGAAGAAGACAGAUGUCACUUCACCUUAUUUUGCAUUCCUGUGGUCAGCACUUCUAAUAACUGCAGUGACAACCCUAGAAAGCCUUAAAUUCUGGGAGUUUUUCAUCUCCUAAGUUCUUCAACUCUCUGAAGGCUGAUGUCUUCUUGGUAACCCUGUAGGUUGGAGGUUGGUCAUGUCAUGUAGGAGCUACAAAGAAUAUCCUUCUGCAGGUUGACCUACACAGCCCAAAUGUGGUGUGUAAUGCUCAAACCCUUUGUGAAAGAUUCAGAUAAUGACCUCUACUUCACAUCCAUCAUUCAGUCAUUACAACAAUAUAUGCUGUAGUUAACACAAGAAUCUUGUCGCUAUUUGAAAAUCACCUCAGUAAUAUCAGCAAAGUACUGAAUCACAGAAUUGUGUGGGUUGGAAGGGACCUUAAAGACCACCUAAUUCAAACCUCUCCCAUGGGCAGAGACACCUCCCCCUGGAUGAGGUUGCCCAAAGCCCCAUACAGUCUGUCCUUGAGGACUUCCAGCAAUUGUGCAUCCAUAACUCCUCUGGGCAGCCUGUUCCAGUGCCUCACAACCCUCAUAGUAAAGAAUUUUUUUCCUAACGUCUAAUCUGAAUCUGCUUUCUUUUAGUGUGUAAAUCCACUCUCCCUUGUCUAUUGUUAUACUCCCUGAUAAAGGAGUCUCUCCCCAUAAGGAAUAGCUCAUCGAAGUCAUGGUAUUUCUCCCAUUUGUACUGGGAAUAGAAAGUGGAUUGUUUUCAUGUCCAGAUGCUAUACCAUCACUAUUACCCUAAUUGCUAGUCUCAUCAAAAAGAUCACAGUUGAAUGGGGAAUGAAAUUGUUUCUGGCGGUUUGCUUGGCCAUUUAUGCAUAGUAAAGGUGCUUUCCUUACUCUUUUCUGAGGUCUACUUGACUGGAGAGAAUAGGUAUGAAUUGUUCCCAAGAUUGCUGAGAUUCUCUUUAAAGAUAUAUUUUAAUAUUCAGAAACAAUAUUGUAUAACUUAAAGGUUGUGGAAUUGCAGUAACUGCUAUGUACAUAGCUAGAUAGGCAGAAAUGAACAACCGUAUUCUGCUGUCAUUCCAUAUGAUAAAGUCUGAAAUUUUGGAUGAUCUAGAAAUCACCUAAGUUGUAGUUUCCUCUCUAGUAUUCUACACAGCAGAAGUCCUCUUUCCCAGAUGAUUUUACUGUUUAAGCCAUGGAUACCUUAGUCCUCUAGGUAUGGUUUCUGAGGAAAAAAGGUACAUGAACAAGGACUACAGUUCUAGGAACACUCCUUCAUCAGCUCUGGUACAUGUGAACAAGGAUUUAACUCCAGUGUAUCUCCUGCAAGUGAUUUUGUGUUUAAAGACCUUUUUUUUGCCUGUUGUAACAACCAAAGGGCAAUGAAAAGGCAAAGAAAAAUGACAAAGCCUUGCAGUUGACUCAUUUCUUCUUCCAGAAACUAAGAACAGUGUAACAAACCAAAAGUGUAUGAUGUACAGCUGACACCAAGCAGCUUCAUCUUCUGCUGUUCAUCCUUUUAUCUGACAUCCUCAGCAUUAUGUACUUUAAUUGUAUCUGUCAUUACGACACUUGAGAUAAGAAUGGGAACUCAAAAAUCAGGGACUUUAUGAAAUCAAAUAGCUAGACAAAGUGAGUGUGGCCCAGCAAUCCCUGAAACCUUACCAAUAAGGAAAGCUUUUGACAGUAAACUGCUGGUUUUGUUUUAGGCAUGAAAAAAGUCUUAAAGACUCUAAAAAUAUGUCAUUUUACUCCUACAUAUAUUGAUUUAUCUGGUGAUGCUAGUUGGCACUUAUUCUUCCUCCAAAUCUGGUUAUUAAUAAAGAAAAUUUUCAAAAUUACAGGGGAAGCAAUGCAUGAAGGGUGAAGGUCCCAAAGGAAAGCAGCUGAGCUAAGUUUGUGUAUCUAAUUCCCUUAUGGUCUUUUCAACUCAUAAACAAAGAAUUCAACAGGGAUUCAUUUAGACUAUAGAAGAAAAUAAAGUUUCUGCAAAAGGCUCAUGCAUUUGUGCAUGAAAUCCAGUCUCUUUAUUCAGCUGGUGUUUUGUGAGCAGUGGUGUAGAAGAAGUCACUCUUCAUAAGGAAAUCACAAAGUGAGCAUUUAAUGUUCACAAAUUGUACCCAGAAACCUACAUCUCAGGAGAUGUAAAAUAUUUAGGGGAACCUAUGUGGCAAAUCUGUGAGAUUAAAUCAUCUAAUCUGACAUUUUGCAUAACGAAGGCAGAGAAUGCCACCUCAUUAUGCCUAUAUUAAGACAAAUAACUUGCGCUUGACCAAAGCAUUUAAGCAUUUCCAGCAAAUCACUGAUCUUAAGACUUUCAGCAAAAGAUUCAUCUAACUAAAUAUUGCCAUCUGCAAUAUGUAUUUCUACAUCUUACCCUGGCCUCCCUUGAAAGUAAUGGCUAAAAGUAACCAUUUGUAGGGAAAAGCACAUCUCGUCCUACAGUAAACAUUUAAAACAAAUUAAAGAAAGAGUGUCUAUUUCCUAACAGUGUCCAUCUCAAGCCAAUGGUAGUCUUUAUAACAAGUCCAGCAAAUUUUGGUUUGGGUGUAGUGUUUAUGAAUAUCUAUAAUACAAUAAAGCAUCAUUUGAAAAAAAUGAAAACAAAAAACAGGUACAUACAAGAAUAUAAAUUAAUAUAAUUAAUCCUACUUAUUCAAAAAAAGAAAAAAAAAUAUUGCCAAUACUUGCUUACUUUGCUGCUAUUAUUUUGUAAACUGACUUACAAAGCUCUUUCAUGUUGGUUGAAUUUGGGCAUUUAAGUCAAUGUGCCCUAAAAAUGCUCCAUAGUAACAUUUAAAUAUAAGGGUUACACUGGAGAUGUAAGCUUUUUGAAAAUUCCUGUGCCUACAACCUAAGAUAUUAUUUCUUCUCAAACAAAAAUAAUAGCAUUCCUAGUCAUAUGCAUGAGCUGGAGUUUACCUAUGAUAUAACUGUUGUAUAAAAAUUACUGGAGCGAUUUACACAGAUCACUAAUCCCUCACACAUACUAAUCUUUCCCUGUGAAAUUAUAAGUCAGAAACAUGGUUAAAUUCCUGGAUUUCUUUAAAUUGUGGUUGCACAGGGAGGAGUUUAAAUGCAUAAGAAAGCCUUUCAAAUGGUCUAUUGAAGGACCAGGUGUGCAGCCUGGAAAUUUCCUCUAAAAAUAUACCUAGAAGUGCGUGUGAAGAAUUAGAAUGUGGCUCUAGCUUUAGAAGUUUCUUUUUUUUUCUUUUUUUUUUUUUUUUUAAAGUAAGUUUUAUUUCCCACAAAUGAUUUGAUAGUUAAAAUUCACAUUUCAUUUACAGACCAAUAAUAUGUUAUACUCACACACAGAGACAGCCUGUCAUUUUACAUAUGGGUUUUGUGAGGCUGCAAUGGCAAUAAAAGAAAACAACCCACAGUCCACAGUUGUGGUGAAAAGGCGGCAGUGCUUCCUGCAAAGUUCCCUUUUGCCAAGUAGCACAGUCAUGAUGAGCAGUGCUCAGAUUAUGUUUUAUCGAUGGUUAAUUUCCAAUCUGGAAGUUCAUUAACUUUGACUCAUAGCAUAAAAGGCCACGACCGAUUAUUAUUCAGAAAAAUCCUGCUGUUUAGCCAAAGACCAUACAGAGCAAUCCCGUACUUGAUGUGCUUGUGAUAAAUGUUCACAUGACAAGGUUAUUUG